UCGCCUGUCACUUUCUAUUGCUAUACUUUCUCUUCUCUACAGAACUUCUCUUCUCUAGAGAACAAGAGAAAGAGGGUCUUUAUCUUUCACUUCUAUUCCUUCUUCACUUCAAUCAAAAAGAGGAUAAGUUUGAAUUUGUUGGAUUCCAGGGAUUCACCAAGGUCAAGGCAAGCCUAUCGACUUUAUGAGUGCUUAUAGAUUUUACCCACAAC
rnacentral:lncRNA from 1 species